CACGUAGGAGGCGAGCGUUGUCCGGAAUCAUUGGGCGUAAAGAGCUCGUAGGCGGCUUGGCAAGUCGGGUGUGAAACCUCCAGGCUCAACCUGGAGACGCCACUCGAUACUGCUAUGGCUAGAGUCCGGUAGGGGACCACGGAAUUCCUGGUGUAGCGGUGAAAUGCGCAGAUAUCAGGAGGAACACCAGCGGCGAAGGCGGCGCUCUGGGCCGGAACUGACGCUGAGGAGCGAAAGCAUGGGUAGCGAACAGG
rnacentral:rRNA from 1 species